GGAAGGAAGCUCACUGUAGAGGCCACUAGCUUGGGUGUCUAUCACCCUACUUCCGCCUCUGGGAAGGUCUGAGGGAAGGGCCAAAUUGCCGCCCUAGCAGGGUGCCACCUUCUGAAGGUGGGGUGAGUUCCCACCAAUGUGGGUCUCCGAUGAAGCCCUAGAAUUGAGGCAGGAGAAGUGGAGAGGGGUCGUAGGCUCCUCCCCGCGGAUGCCUCUGUGGCUCCGUUCGGGAUUUGGGAAUGACUCACGGCUGGCAGCUUUGAGUACAAUGGGAAGAGGUGAAGCCCGCCAGCUUCAUAACCCAAUUCAGACCACUCUCCGGAAUUCC
rnacentral:RNase_P_RNA from 11 species